AUGAGAUAAGUACUUUGAAGGAUACAUGCUGCAAUAAUAGAUGUUAGCUUAGAGAAGUUCCGCAGCUUCAAUCUGGCAAGCUAUAUUUACGUGCUGAGGUAAGCUAUAUUAUUAGCUGAGCGCUUGUUUUGCGGACACCCGGACCUUCGAUGGUUCAUGGUUGAAAGAGUACUCUAGAAGAGGGUCACGCUUGCAUGCGAGGGUUCCGCAGUGUUAUACGCGAUGGCGGAGGAACGACGAAGUAAACAAGAUCAAUCGCAGAGAGACACGAGAUUUAACGUGGAAAACCCUCCCAAUGCAAGAGGGAAAAACCACGGGCGCCAGCCAGCAACAAUCUUCACUAUAUC
rnacentral:lncRNA from 1 species